GAUCCUGUGGCGAAAUGGAUAUCGCGUUGCCCUCCGGAGGUGAAGAUUGCGGGUUCGAGUCCCGCCAGGAUCG
rfam:Neocallimastix californiae strain G1 LY90scaffold_328, whole genome shotgun sequence.